rnacentral:rRNA from 1 species
UACGGAGGGUGCAAGCGUUAAUCGGAAUUACUGGGCGUAAAGCGUGCGUAGGUGGUUUGUUAAGUCUGAUGUGAAAGCCCUGGGCUCAACCUGGGAAUGGCAUUGGAUACUGGCAGUCUAGAGUGCGGUAGAGGGUAGCGGAAUUCCCGGUGUAGCAGUGAAAUGCGUAGAUAUCGGGAGGAACAUCCGUGGCGAAGGCGGCUACCUGGACCAGCACUGACACUGAGGCACGAAAGCGUGGGGAGCAAACAGGAUUAGAUACCCUGGUAGUCCACGCCCUAAACGAUGCGAACUGGAUGUUGGGGGCACUUAGGCCUUCAGUAUCGAAGCUAACGCGUUAAGUUCGCCGCCUGGGAAGUACGGUCGCAAGACUGAA